rnacentral:rRNA from 1 species
GAUGAACGCUGGCGGCGUGCUUAACACAUGCAAGUCGAACGGAAAGGCCCAAGCUUGCUUGGGUACUCGAGUGGCGAACGGGUGAGUAACACGUGGGUGAUCUGCCCUGCACUUCGGGAUAAGCCUGGGAAACUGGGUCUAAUACCGGAUAGGACCACAUUUUGGAUGGUGUGGUGGAAAGUUUUUCGGUGUGGGAUGAGCUCGCGGCCUAUCAGCUUGUUGGUGGGGUAAUGGCCUACCAAGGCGUCGACGGGCAGCCGGCCUGAGAGGGUGUACGGCCACAUUGGGACUGCGAUACGGCCCAGACUCCUACGGGAGGCAGCAGUGGGGAAUAUUGCACAAUGGGCGCAAGCCGGAUGCAGCGACGCCGCGUGGGGGAUGACGGCCUUCGGGUUGUAAACUCCUUUCGCUAGGGACGAAGCGUUAUGUGACGGUACCUGGAGAAGAAGCACCGGCUAACUACGUG